CCCUCUAUAUAACGUAUCGAUAAGUGAUAGCAGGGUAAACAGGCAAUAAAACAAAGUGCUAGGCCUAGCGACCACUACUUUAUAGUCGACGGAGGAUAUCUGCAAUAAUUCCAGUCUACGGCUAUUCUGUCAGAAAUACAUUAUUCGUAUUAAGGUUGAAAAAUCAUUAACGCGGAGUCAUAAAGAAUAUAAUAUAUGCAUGGUUGCAUACCUGUGUUUCGUACAAAGAAGUCUCUCCUAGGUCAGCGAGGAAGUGUAGUCUGGUGGUAUAUUUGGGUCAUAACCUGCUGGAUCCGGAAUCCAAACCUUUGCCUUUGAUUCUAUUAUUAUGACAUCUUUUCUUCCCUGUAACCAACACAUGAUCCAUAUGAACUGUUUUCCUCGUCAGAAUAACCCAUAAAUAACAAGAGAUUUGAGCAGGAAAGGUACUGUGUAAUUAAAUUCUCUUGGUUUUGAACGAGUGUACAGAAAAAGAGAGAGACUGGAUACAGUAUGAAGCACGGUGAAACAAUCUUUAUUGAAUAAAAAACGAGUAUGUGGAUCAAGGACAGCACCUGUACUAAAAGUCUGAAGGAGUUCAGAAAUGUGGAGCAAGCCUGUUGAAAUUGUUUUCUCAAUAUCUGUACCAGUCUCAUCAAGUUCACCUAAUGUGCGUAUCUUACAGCUGCCUGAUACAUAGGUAUUUGAGCCAUCUCCAACCUAACGACAAGGAAAGUCAGAAAUGAACUUGAGAGAUGUAAAUUAGACAAAACUAACAAAGUACAGGAGAGGGAGAUUCUGGUUACCUCAACUUGACGGACGUUAAUCAGUUGUUCAGUAUUUCUAUCGAGUGACGAUGGAACGAAUAUAAUAAGGGUGACAACAUCGAUUGGACUUGGUGAAAUCUUUGAGACCUGGAACAGAAAACAAAUCAUAUAACAUAAUUCUAAAUAUAAGCAUGUCUUAAUGAAACACUCUUUUAAAAAAACUUACUUAAUUUAAAGGUUUGCUUAAGGAAGUAUAUAGACCACAAUAUGAUGUUUUUAGGGGUUGAAAGUGUAGCUAAUCUUCUUUCACUGCAGUAAAGAAACAGUAAUAUCUCAUUUAUUUUCUGUAAUUAUUUUUCCUUUUCGUAUUGGGACAGCGGUAAGUCUACGGACUUAUGGUGCUAAAAUACGGGGUUCGAUUCCCCGCAGUGGACACAGCAGAUAGCCCAAUGUGACUUUGCUAUAAAACAAACUCAUCAAUAUGCCCCACGGUGUGAUAGCAGUAAGUUUAUGGACUUACAAUACUAAAAUCCGGGGUUCUUUGAUUCCCCAUUGUGGAUACAGCAGAUAGUCCAAUAUGGCUUUGCUUUAAAAGCUAAUAAACAAAUCUUUUCAUAAUUAUACAGAAAAUGACAGUGGUCAUUGAACUUCAUGAAUGUUUCCAGUUCUUUCGUAACUUAAUUUCUAUACAUUCACUUUUCUUCACAGGAAAUAGUACUGUAUUCUUCUUCUUCUGUAGCUUUUUCCCGUAUCUAUAC